rnacentral:misc_RNA from 1 species
UUUCUGUAGGUGAACCUGCGGAAGGAUCAUUACAGAGUUCAUGCCCUCACGGGUAGAUCUCCCACCCUUGAAUAUUUAUACCUUAGUUGCUUUGGCAGGCCGUGGAAGCACCAUGGGCUCCGGCUUAUGCGUGCCUGCCAGAGGAAACAAACUCUGUUUUUAGUGAUGUCUGAGUACUAUAUAAUAGUUAAAACUUUCAACAACGGAUCUCUUGGUUCUG